ACUACUUUUGGAUUGAAACUUUACAAUUAAAAGCCAUUUUCUACUUUUUCCUACCCUUAGUGCUCAGGUGAGCGAUGUGGCCCAUGGGCCUCUUGUUGGCAAUUUGAUUUAGGCCUACAGUAUUAAAAUUGGACUCGUGUACUAGGAAUAUCAUUUCUUUAGCAGAAUUAUCCCACUGAAUUAAAAGGAACUCUUUUUUCAGGUGCGCAUGAUGCAGCUUCCUGGAUGGUGUGUAGGCUGUUUGUCAACAUGUGAAUCCCAUGUGCAUUUCGAGGAGUUAUCUCCCCUUGAAAAGAUCAAUAAUGGCGGAUAAACAAUGUGGCAUGCAGUCUGGUCACCAACGGACAGUUCUGACACUCAUACCUGUAUUUCUACCAAUUACCUCAGUAACCUUUGUUGUGUUCAUCACACAGAUGAUGGACCACUCUACUUCCUUUGACAACAGGUGCCCCUACAGAUUCACAAAGUUCCAGUGUUGAGUUUCCAUGACCCCUAUUAAUCCACGACAGGAAAAGGAAUAGAGUUGACAGGACUUCCCGCACUGUCCCUGGUAGCAGUUUAUGAGGGAACCAACCGCAGUAGACACAGCACGCUUCAUCAAAGAUGCACCAGAUGCAGCGGCACUGUCUCCAUCACUUGUGAAAUGGGAUAUGACUAGUGGCCGGUCAUCAUUUUGUAACUCACCAACACAAUUAGCGGCCAAUCGCUUCUCGUCUCCAAUGG